CAGUCAUACCCCGCAUAAUCAAGUCGAGGUUAUACUCUUCUUACGCAUUAAAAUUAAUGGGUGAGAAGAGUAUAACCUCGACUUGAUUAUGCGGGGUAUGACUG
rnacentral:pre_miRNA from 1 species